GACGAACGCUGGCGGCGUGCUUAACACAUGCAAGUCGAACGGAAAGGCCCUGCUUGCAGGGUACUCGAGUGGCGAACGGGUGAGUAACACGUGGGUGAUCUGCCCUGCACUUCGGGAUAAGCCUGGGAAACUGGGUCUAAUACCGGAUAGGAGCCAUUUUUAGUGUGAUGGUUGGAAAGUUUUUUCGGUGUAGGAUGAGCUCGCGGCCUAUCAGCUUGUUGGUGGGGUAAUGGCCUACCAAGGCGGCGACGGGUAGCCGGCCUGAGAGGGUGGACGGCCACAUUGGGACUGAGAUACGGCCCAGACUCCUACGGGAGGCAGCAGUGGGGAAUAUUGCACAAUGGGCGCAAGCCUGAUGCAGCGACGCCGCGUGGGGGAUGACGGCCUUCGGGUUGUAAACUCCUUUCGCUAGGGACGAUGCUUUUUGUGACGGUACCUAGAUAAGAAGCACCGGCUAACUACGUG
rnacentral:rRNA from 1 species